rnacentral:rRNA from 1 species
AACUUGCCUCUUGGAGUGGGACAACUGUUGCAAACGACAGCUAAUACCGGAUAUUAUGAGAUUCUCGCAUGAGAAACUUAUGAAAGCUAUAUGCGCCAAGAGAGAGCCUUGCGUUCCAUUAGCUAGUUGGUGGGGUAACGGCCCACCAAGGCGACGAUGGAUAGCCGGCCUGAUAGGGUGAACGGCCACAAGGGGACUGAGACACGGCCCUUACUCCUACGGGAGGCAGCAGUGGGGAAUAUUGGACAAUGGACCAAAAGUCUGAUCCAGCAAUUCUGUGUGCACGAUGAAGGUCUUCGGAUUGUAAAGUGCUUUCAGUUGGGAAGAAGAAAGUGACGGUACCAACAGAAGAAGCGACGGCCAAAUACGUGCCAGCAGCCGCGGUAAUACGUAUGUCGCAAGCGUUAUCCGGAUUUAUUGGGCGUAAAGCGCGUCUAGGCGGAAAAAUAAGUCUGAUGUUAAAAUGCGGGGCUCAACUCCGUAUUGCGUUGGAAACUGUUUUUCUAGAGUACUGGAGAGGUGGGCGGAACUACCAGUGUAGAGGCGAAAUUCGUAGAUCUUUGUAGGAAUGCCGAUGGAGAAGUCAGCUCACUGGACAGAUACUGACGCUGAAGCGC